GUUCUGCUGCGACGUUGGUGACUGCCAAUAAUGUUUUAUGAUCUAUGCCUUAUGAACAAGGGGAGCGAGUUACUUCAGUGGCAGUAGACCGGGCAUGUACCCGGAAACUUAAAGCUGAGGUCAAGAUCCCCACCUGGAGUAUUCCAGGUCAAAAACUGAGGUAAGACGGCGUUGCGGGGGGCUU
rnacentral:other from 1 species